UCUCUCAACUUCUCUGUCCAAGGUACCUCCCACAUCCCUCACCUUCUCUGUCCAAGGUACCUCCCACAUCCCUCACCUUCUCUGUCCAAGGUACCUCCCACAUCCCUCACCUUCUCUGUCCAAGGUACCUCCCACAUCUCUCACCUUCUCUGUCCAAGGUACCUCCCACAUCUCUCACCUUCUCUGUCCAAGGUACCUCCCACAUCUCUCACCUUCUCUGUCCAAGGUACCUCCCACAUCUCUCACCUUCUCUGUCCAAGGUACCUCCCACAUCUCUCACCUUCUCUGUCCAAGGUACCUCCCACAUCUCUCACCUUCUCUGUCCAAGGUACCUCCCACAUCCCUCACCUUCUCUGUCCAACAUCUCUCACCUUCUCUGUCCAAGGUACCUCCCACAUCUCUCACCUUCUAUUCUUGUAUUUCACCUUUACUUUUCACAGCUCCCAGUAUGGCGUUGUUAGCUCCGGGGAGGCUUGUUUGUUGUGAAGAUAAACUCGUUAAGUGCGUACGUGUGUGUGUGUGUGUGUGUGUGUG